rnacentral:rRNA from 1 species
GAUGAACGCUGGCGGCGUGCCUAAUACAUGCAAGUCGAGCGAACAGACGAGGAGCUUGCUCCUCUGAUGUUAGCGGCGGACGGGUGAGUAACACGUGGAUAACCUACCUAUAAGACUGGGAUAACUUCGGGAAACCGGAGCUAAUACCGGAUAACAUGUUGAACCGCAUGGUUCAACAGUGCAAGACGGUCUUGCUGUCACUUAUAGAUGGAUCCGCGCCGCAUUAGCUAGUUGGUAAGGUAACGGCUUACCAAGGCAACGAUGCGUAGCCGACCUGAGAGGGUGCUCGGCCACACUGGAACUGAGACACGGUCCAGACUCCUACGGGAGGCAGCAGUAGGGAAUCUUCCGCAAUGGGCGAAAGCCUGACGGAGCAACGCCGCGUGAGUGAAGAAGGUCUUCGGAUCGUAAAACUCUGUUAUUAGGGAAGAACAAAUGUGUAAGUAACUAUGCACGUCUUGACGGUACCUAAUCAGAAAGCCACGGCUAACUACGUG